CGGACGGGUGAGUAACGCGUGAGAAUUUGCCUUUAGGAGGGGGACAACAAUUGGAAACGAUUGCUAAUACCCCAUAUGCUUUCGAGUGAAAUGGAUUUUUCCGCCUAAAGAGAAGCUUGCGGCUGAUUAGCUUGUUGGUAAGGUAAUGGCUUACCAAGGCGACGAUCAGUAUCUGGUUUGAGAGGACGAUCAGACACACUGGAACUGAGACACGGUCCAGACUCCUACGGGAGGCAGCAGUGGGGAAUUUUCCGCAAUGGGCGAAAGCCUGACGGAGCAAUCUCGCGUGAGGGAUGACGGCCUAUGGGUUGUAAACCUCUUUUUUCAGGGAGGAAUAAAAUGACGUGUACCUGAAGAAUAAGCAUCGGCUAACUCCGUGCCAGCAGCCGCGGUAAGACGGAGGAUGCAAGUGUUAUCCGGAAUCACUGGGCGUAAAGCGUCUGUAGGUGGUUUAAUAAGUCAACUGUUAAAUCUUGAGGCUCAACCUCAAAAUCGCAGUCGAAACUAUUAGGCUAGAGUAUAGUAGGGGUAAAGGGAAUUUCCAGUGGAGCGGUGAAAUGCGUAGAGAUUGGAAAGAACACCGAUGGCGAAGGCACUUUACUGGGCUAUUACUAACACUCAGAGACGAAAGCUAGGGUAGCAAAUGGGAUUAGAUACCCCAGUAGUC
rnacentral:rRNA from 1 species